AUGAAACGUUCAUGCGCAGGAAAUCAGUUGGUCGUGUCAGUGAUUGUAGUGUGGACGUUUGUGUAUUACGGCCGUACGUUAGAAUUUUAUUUACAUGCACAAAAAUUUAUAUAUAUAACUCAAAGGGUGAAUAACUGUGUGUAUAUGUGACACUGUUUCAAGUGAACCUUCACUAAAAAUAGCGAGUAAAUGGAUUAAUCUCGUCGACAUCAUUCGAAAAUUCUAACGGCCAAACGUAGUUGCAUGAAUACACACCAGGUGGCGUCCCUGUACAUCAACUAUGAGGGAGAGCUGACCGCGGGAUAUAAUUUACAAAACCCGACCCUUAUAUACACCUACACAACCCGGUUAUUUUAGUAUUUGUACUAAAAAAGUUAGUUCGCGUUUGAUAUAGUGAAAGAAGCAGAUUAGAAGUGUUAGUGACUUAACGUUGUUACAUAAGUAAUAUUUAUAACCUACAGAUCUCCUAUCUUAAUAACUAUUUAAAGUAGAUAUUUGACUCGUAACUAAGGGGUCAUUUUGCUCUCGUUAUACUACCGUCGUGAAUAAGCUUUAAAAAGACAUUUUUUAAUUAGUCUUGGAAUUGCCAGCUACUGCCGAUCGUGUUUUGGACUCUCUUUAAAGGUGAGCUUUCGUUUUUAUUUCUUUUUUC